rnacentral:rRNA from 1 species
AUUGAACGCUGGCGGCAGGCUUAACACAUGCAAGUCGAACGGUAACAGGAGAAAGCUUGCUUUCUUGCUGACGAGUGGCGGACGGGUGAGUAAUGCUUGGGAAUCUGGCUUAUGGAGGGGGAUAACGACGGGAAACUGUCGCUAAUACCGCGUAGAGUCGAGAGACGAAAGUGCGGGACCGCAAGGCCGCAUGCCAUAGGAUGAGCCCAAGUGGGAUUAGGUAGUUGGUGGGGUAAAGGCCUACCAAGCCGACGAUCUCUAGCUGGUCUGAGAGGAUGACCAGCCACACCGGGACUGAGACACGGCCCGGACUCCUACGGGAGGCAGCAGUGGGGAAUAUUGCGCAAUGGGGGCAACCCUGACGCAGCCAUGCCGCGUGAAUGAAGAAGGCCUUCGGGUUGUAAAGUUCUUUCGGUAUUGAGGAAGGUUGUUGUGUUAAUAGCACGACAAAUUGACGUUAAAUACAGAAGAAGCACCGGCUAACUCCGUGCCAGCAGCCGCGGUAAUACGGAGGGUGCGAGCGUUAAUCGGAAUAACUGGGCGUAAAGGGCACGCAGGCGGACUUUUAAGUGAGGUGUGAAAUCCCCGGGCUUAACCUGGGAAUUGCAUUUCAGACUGGGAGUCUAGAGUACUUUAGGGAGGGGUAGAAUUCCACGUGUAGCGGUGAAAUGCGUAGAGAUGUGGAGGAAUACCGAAGGCGAAGGCAGCCCCUUGGGAAUGUACUGACGCUCAUGUGCGAAAGCGUGGGGAGCAAACAGG